CUUUACUGUAGCCUGGUAUUGGGUUCGGGCUUUGACUGCGCAGGAUAGGUGGGAGACUGAGAAGUGUGCCUUGUGGGGCACAUAGAGUCAACGGUGAGAUACCACUCUGUCAGAGCUAGAAUUCUAACCUUCACCCGUGAUCCGGGGAAGGAACCGUAUCAGGUGGGCAGUUUGACUGGGGCGGUCGCCUCCUAAAAGGUAACGGAGGCGCGCAAAGGUGUUCUCAGGCUGGUUGGAAAUCAGCCGUAGAGUGUAAAGGCAGAAGAACGCUUGACUGUGAGAGUGACAACUCAAGCAGGGUGGAAACACGGCCUUAGUGAUCCGACGGCACUGAGUGGAAGGGCCGUCGCUCAACGGAUAAAAGUUA
rnacentral:rRNA from 1 species